GUUUAAAACAUUGUCUUUGAAGUAAUAAAAGGCAGUUGAACCUACAAUCUAGACGAAACUCAGUCUUUGCACUUGCAGUCUCGAAGAAGUUCGGGAAAAGUUGGAAGUCUUGCUUAGAACGAACUAUGGCGCCGAAAGAUGGGGAAGGAGAAACGUAAAGGCUUGCUCGCAGCGAAUGAUAGGCAUUUGUGACUUGAAAAAACACGUUGUGUGUGUGUUCGUGGUAGUCCUUCUUAGAGAUAAAGAUAUAAGAUAAAGUAUUUUUCUCUAGUUUAUAUCUAAGUUUAUGUGCGUAAUUUUUUUUUCAUUUGUAUUGUGCAUGCUUUAUAAAAAGUAUAUGAUAUCGAAAAAUAUUAAAGACAGGUUACAGCGGCUUCUGCGCAUGUGCGAGCUUUGUUUACAUUUUUUGUUUUGAUCCGCAAUGAUUCUACAACAUGAAGUAUAUCAUAUAUUCGCAAUGAUUUAUCAACAAAAAAAGAGAGGAGCGACGCUUCUUUCAAAAAUAUAUUUGCGGAAAAAAACUAUAGAAAAAACCGAAAAUAAGCAAAUACAACAUUUUACGGAAACACUUUACAACAGUGGAUGAAAAGCCGCUUUGAAAUCGUAGAUUAACAGCUGGAGCGGCGGCCGAAGUUGUCAUACAAAGGCGCGAGUUCUAAUCGGUUCGCUUUUGGUUUGUUUAUAUUUGGGACUUGAUAGCCUUGGAAGUGUUAGUAAUGUCUUUAAUAAUGAAAUAUACUGUGCGGUAUCUUUCCGCCGUCGAAAACUCAUUCAUACCAGGGUGGUCACAAUCAUGGCAGGAGCAAUUGAAGGAAGCUUUUCGCUUGAAGAUUUCGAAGCUAAUGUUUUGGAAAACGCAGCGGCUAUGCCUAACCGUGACAAAAUCACAGUGUGCAAAUGUAGAGGGCACUGUCUUCGUGAAAAAGGACGGAAUUUCUGUCCGUGCAGAAGCAUCAAUAGCUUGUGUUCGAGCGCGUGUCAUGGCGAAGACUUUGGCUGUUGCAUGAACAACCGACUUGUUCAAGAAAGCGAUAGUGAUGAGAGUGACUCUGAGUUCACUAUAGAGGAAAGUGAGAAUGAGGGCGAGCAGCAGCUGCAGAUUGAAAAGAGAGGAUGUGGUAGGGAAG